rnacentral:rRNA from 1 species
CAGCAGCCGCGGUAAUACGGAGGGGGCUAGCGUUGUUCGGAAUUACUGGGCGUAAAGCGCACGUAGGCGGCUUGGUAAAUUAGAGGUGAAAGCCUGGAGCUCAACUCCAGAAUUGCCUUUAAGACUGCCGAGCUAGCAGGUGAGAGAGGUAAGUGGAAUUCCGAGUGUAGAGGUGAAAUUCGUAGAUAUUCGGAAGAACACCAGUGGCGAAGGCGGCUUACUGGCUCAUACUGGACGCUGAGGUGCGAAAGCGUGGGGAGCAAACAGGAUUAGAUACCCGAGUAGUCCCUGUCUCUUAUAC